rnacentral:misc_RNA from 1 species
GAUGAAGAACGCAGCGAAACGCGAUAAGUAAUGUGAAUUGCAGAAUUUAGUGAAUCAUCGAGUCUUUGAACGCACAUUGCGCCCCCUGGUAUUCCGGGGGGCAUGCCUGUCCGAGCGUCAUUGCUGCCCUCAAGCACGGCUUGUGUGUUGGGCCUCCGCCCCCCGGCUCCCGGGGGGCGGGCCCGAAAGGCAGCGGCGGCACCGCGUCCGGUCCUCGAGCGUAUGGGGCUUCGUCACCCGCUCCGUAGGCCCGGCCGGCGCCCGCCGGCGACCCCCCUCAAUCUUUCCAGGUUGACCUCGGAUCAGGUAGGGAUACCCGCUGAACUUAAGCAUAUCAAUAAGCGGAGGA